rnacentral:RNase_P_RNA from 1 species
AAAGUCGGCCAGGCAAUCGCUGGAUACGCGAGUAUCGGGAGGAAAGUCCGGGCUCCGCAGGGCAGGAUGCCAGCUAACGGCUGGGUGCAGUAAGUCGCAAGACCCAAGGCAACGGAAAGUGCAACAGAGAACAGACCGCCUAAGUUCAGGUUCGCCUGAAACGGCAAGGGUGAAACGGCGAGGUAAGAGCUCACCGCGUCCACGGUAACGGCGGACGGCACGGUAAACCCCAUCCGGAGCAAGACCAAAUAGGGAAGCAUGGGCGUGGCCCGCGCUGCUUCCGGGUAGGUUGCUUGAGCCUGUCGGUGACGGCAGGCCUAGAGGAAUGAUUGCCGAACCCCGCGAGGGGGGAACAGAACCCGGCUUAUCGGCCAGCUUUCCAC